AUGUUAGCUCAGGGCCAAUCUUCCUCAGCAAAAAAUAAAUAAAAUAAAUGCUCUACCUUCCCUUCUGCUCACUUCUCUUGAUCUCUUAUUUGUUCACUCAGAGAAACCAGCUGCCAUAAUGUGCGUUGUCCUAUAGAGAGACCAAGGUGGCAAAAAACACCCCUGAGGAGUCCACUGGUCAGCAGCCAGUGAGAAACUGAAACCUGCAAUUCAACAACAAGUCAACGAGCCGUGAGAGUGGUCCUGGAAGUGAGUCCUCCCUCAGUCAAGCCUUGGAUGACUGCAUCCCUGAUCAACACCUUGAUUGCAUCCUCAUGAGAGAGCCUGAGGAAAGACCCAGUGAAGCCAUCUUUAGAUUCCUGCCCACAGAAACUGGGAGAAAAAUAAAUGUUUGCUGUUCUAGGUCAUUAACUUGUGGGGUUACUUAUCAUACAGCAACAGAUAAUUAAUACACAUGGUUUCAAAGAUGACUGGAUAUGGAUUAUAAAAGGGAAAAAAAUGCAAAACAACUUAUGACUUUUGCCUGUGAAAUGUACUUGCUAGUGUUAGAAAUGAUGACUUUGGGAGAAAGAACCACCUUGGGCAAAAGAGUCAAAUGAACUCUACUCUUGGUAAAAUUGAGGAAGUGGUUGGGCAUUCAGAAAUUAGAAAGGAGGGGUUAGAAAUUAGUGACCAUUCAUCCUUUUUAACGGACCCAGGAACGAGUGGGAAAGCUUUUCCUUACAAACUGUGCCAAACAUUUGGAAGAAGUACAAGAAGAAAGAGAGAAGGAAAGACGGAGAGAAAGACAGAGAGAUGGAGAAUAGAAGAAAAUAUAAUUAUGCUUUGGUAAAUAAUAAAACAUUUAUGGUAAUAUGUAGAAUUAUCA
rnacentral:lncRNA from 1 species